UGUAGAUGGGUCACUAUGAGGUGGAAUAGAAACUAGAUGGAUCACAAUGAGGUGGAAUAGAAACUAGAUGGAUCACAAUGAGGUGGAAUAUAAACUGUAGAUGGAUCACUAUGAGGUGGAAUAUAAACUGUAGAUGGAUCACAAUGAGGUGGAAUAUAAACUGUAGAUGGAUCACAAUGAGGUGGAAUAGAAACUGUAGAUGGAUCACAAUGAGGUGGAAUAUAAACUGUAGAUGGAUCACAAUGAGGUGGAAUAGAAACUGUAGAUGGAUCACAAUGAGGUGGAAUAUAAACUGUAGAUGGAUCACAAUGAGGUG